CAAGCGGAGGAGCAUGUGGUUUAAUUCGAUGAUACGCGAGGAACCUUACCCGGGCUUGAAAGUUGGUGGACGAUUUAGUGAUAGAUCACUUGAGCAAUCACCACAAACUAGGUGCUGCAUGGUGGUCGUCAGCUCCUGCCGUGAGGUGUUGGGUUAAGUCCUCCAACGACCACAACCCCUAUGUUUACUUGCUGCCAUGUUGUAGUGGGGACUCUUCUCAUACUGCUGGUGCAAACAGACACGAAGGAGGGGACGAUGAUGUCUCAUCAUGGUCCUUAUUACCCGCGCUACACCCCUGCUACUAUGGAGGGUAGGACAGGCAGCUGCCUGUUAACAAUAAGGAAAUCUCAAAAAGCCCCUCACUCUUCUUAUAAUCGUCUGCAACUCCACCUCUUGAAGUUGGAUUCGCUAGUAAUCGCGUAUCAUCAAUGAUGCGGUGAAUAAAUUUCCCGGCCCUUGUACACACA
rnacentral:rRNA from 1 species